rnacentral:rRNA from 1 species
UACAGAGGUCUCAAGCGUUGUUCGGAUUCAUUGGGCGUAAAGGGUGCGUAGGUGGCGGGGUAAGUCAGACGUGAAAUCCCUCGGCUUAACCGGGGAACUGCGUCUGAUACUGGAUGGCUUGAGUUUGGGAGAGGGAUGCGGAAUUCCAGGUGUAGCGGUGAAAUGCGUAGAUAUCUGGAGGAACACCGGUGGCGAAGGCGGCAUCCUGGACCAGUAUUGACGCUGAUGCGCGAAAGCCAGGGGAGCAAACGGG